CGGGUGAGUAAUGUCUGGGAAACUGCCUGAUGGAGGGGGAUAACUACUGGAAACGGUAGCUGAUACCGCAUAACGUCGCAAGACCAAAGAGGGGGACCUUAGGGCCUCUUGCCAUCGGAUGUGCCCAGAUGGGAUUAGCUAGUAGGUGGGGUAACGGCUCACCUAGGCGACGAUCCCUAGCUGGUCUGAGAGGAUGACCAGCCACACUGGAACUGAGACACGGUCCAG
rnacentral:rRNA from 1 species